rnacentral:lncRNA from 1 species
UUUGAGAGGCCUGCGUGCCUCCUAAAAGGGGAUGUAAUUUAUUUUUAUUUUUAUUUUACAUCUGGUUGUAUUUCUGUGAUGUGAUGUACGUCAACGAUUAAGUUGAAGACAAGGCAUGAGAUGAACAGGGGUCUAAGCAGUUGAUGGCGAUUGGAUCUAGAGUUGGUCAAGGAUCGAGUCAAGGAGGCUUGGAACCAAUUCAAGAGUUGAAGACCAGUUGAUCGAUUGACGUGCAUGUGAUUGUAAUACGACCUAACUAGAAUCCAUG